UUACAAGUCAAAUCCAAGAAGUUUCAGGUCCAUACAAAGGUUGGUUUAGGUGCCGUAUUACAAGUUAAAUCCGAUAAGUUUCAGGUCCAUACAAAGGUUGGUUUAGGUGCCGUAUUACAAGUUAAAUCCAAGAAGUUUCAGGUCCAUACAAAGGUUGGUUUAGGUGCCGUAUUACAAGUUAAAUCCAAGAAGUUUCAGGUC